GCAAACUUGGUCAUUUAGAGGAAGUAAAAGUCGUAACAAGGUUUCCGUAGGUGAACCUGCGGAAGGAUCAUUACUGAAUUGAAAGGGAGUUGAUGCUGGCUGCCCAUCUGAUGGGUAGCACGUGCUCGCUUCCGACAAUCUUAUCCAUACACCUGUGCACACUGUGGGGGAGCGCCUUCUGGGAGCGCCCUCAUUUAUAUUACAUACACCCAAUCUGGAAAUCGCACGUGACUUGCGUCGUAUGGCGCUUAAAACUAUAUACAACUUUUAACAACGGAUCUCUUGGCUCUCGCAUCGAUGAAGAACGCAGC
rnacentral:misc_RNA from 1 species